UCCCAGAAAAAAAUUAGGAAAAAAAUCUUCCCAGGCAGUGCAAAAAAAAAUUCCUUCCUUGGAAGAUAGGCCUAUAAAUUUUAAUUAAAAAAUAUAUAUUUCCAGCCAUCAAGUGAGAAAAAAAAUUUCUUCUAUAGGUGUACGUACAAAAAAAAUAUAUGUUGCCUCUUAGAAAAUCCCCCCCCAUCACUUUUCUAAUGGUCCGUCCCUAAGGUUAUUCACCAAUAGUAAUGGGUUGAACUACUUGUUCAAGUCAGGAAUGCCCACUGGACAGGUAAGACCUGAUCAAACGAGGGUGAAAGUUGAUAACUCUCAUCGACUCUCAUCAACCAUAUCCAAGUUGAUACUUUGAGAAGAUUUCAAUUUUGAUGAGUGUUGAUGAGAUUUUUCACUACGCUUACCUCUCAUCAACUCUCGUGCAACUCUUAUUCUCAUAGAGUUGAGAAAACUCUCAUGCAAACUCUCGCUUGACCAUUUCCGUUUGACCAGGUCUUUAAUCCAAUAACGAAGAACCAUCCAUGCUUUUGCAUAAACUUUGCAGGAACAUAGUUGAGCUCGUGCUGCAACAGAGGGUAUUUAAAAGGUUAUUUUAGUUUUAUGAGAAAUUAUUAUUUUGCUUAAUGAAUAAUGUAAAUUUUAAAAUUUAAAUAAAAAUUGUUAUUUUCGUGUAA